rnacentral:rRNA from 1 species
GAUAGUUAAUAAUACAUCACGAAGGACAUUGAGCUAAUUAAUAAAUUAUAAUAGUCUACUAUAUUAUAUGUUGCACUAUAUAAGCUAUAUUAUUAAUUAGGGGUGAUAGGCCUCACAAAAUGUCCGAUAUCUUGAUCCCUAGGAAACAUAUUAAGUAUUAAAUCAACUUUGAAGUGUUAAGAUUUCAAAGUAACACUAAGUCAUAUAAUUUUACUUGCAAACUGUCUAACGACAUUUGUUUAAUGUAAUUUAAUAUUAAUUAAUGAUGUUUUGUGUGUACUACUAGAGUGUAUUCUAUAACUUAAAUAAAUAAUAUUACUGUUAAUAUUAGUAUUACUAUAAAUACUGAAGUAGGAACUCGGCAAACUCAUGUUCUUCAACUGUUUAUCAAAAACAUAGCUAAGUGAUAUUAACACUUAGUUGACUCUGCUCAAUGGAAAACUAAAUAGCCGCAGUACCCUGACUGUGCAAAGGUAGCAUAAUCACUUGUCUUAUAAUUGAAGUCUGGCAUGAAAGAACUAAUGGGGAAAUACUGUCUUCUUUAGUUAUGUAGAAAUUAUUACUUAGGUGAAAAUACCUAUAUUAACACAACAGACGAGAAGACCCUAGAAAUUUUUUAUAAAAAGAUUAAGUAAUUAGUAAUAUUUUGUUGGGGCGACAGAAUAACAUAUAACUUGUUUUAUUUAAUUAGUACAAUGUAAUGAGGUAAAACAAAUUACUCUAGGGAUAACAGCAUAAUUUAUUAAAGUUUGUGACCUCGAUGUUGGACUAGGGAUUUUAAUAGUCAGAAGCUAUUAAGCUUAGCUCUGUUCGAGCUUUUAUUCCUACAUGAUCUGAGUUCAGACCGGC